GCAAGGAUGAAACUCAAAGGAAUUGACGGGGGCCCGCACAAGCGGUGGAGCAUGUGGUUUAAUUCGAUGAUACGCGAGGAACCUUACCAGGGCCUAAAUGUACGUUGCAUAGUUUAGAGAUAGACUUUUCUUCGGACUACGUACAAGGUGCUGCAUGGUUGUCGUCAGCUCGUGCCGUGAGGUGUUAGGUUAAGUCCUGCAACGAGCGCAACCCCUAUCAUUAGUUGCUAACGCGUUAAGGCGCGGACUCUGAUGAGACUGCCAGUGUAAGCUGUGAGGAAGGUGGGGAUGACGUCAAAUCAUCACGGCCCUUAUGUCCUGGGCUACACACGUGCUACAAUGGCCGGUACAGAGGGCUGCAACUUGCGAGGGUGAGCUACUCCCUUAAAACCGUUCGUAGUCCGGAUUGGAGUCUGCAACUCGACUCCAUGAAGUCGGAAUCGCUAGUAAUCGUGAAUCAGAAUGUCACGGUGAAUACGUUCCCGGGCCUUGUACACACCGCCC
rnacentral:rRNA from 1 species